UUCCAGACUCCUACGGGAGGCAGCAGUGGGGGAUAUUGCACAAUGGGGGAAACCCUGAUGCAGCGACGCCGCGUGGGUGAAGAAGCGCCUCGGCGCGUAAAGCCCUGUCAGCAGGGAAGAAAAUGACGGUACCUGAAGAAGAAGCCCCGGCUAACUACGUGCCAGCAGCCGCGGUAAUACGUAGGGGGCAAGCGUUAUCCGGAUUUACUGGGUGUAAAGGGGGCGCAGACGGCGAUGCAAGCCAGGAGUGAAAGCCCGGGGCCCAACCCCGGGACUGCUCUUGGAACUGCGUGGCUGGAGUGCAGGAGGGGCAGGCGGAAUUCCUGGUGUAGCGGUGAAAUGCGUAGAUAUUAGGAGGAACACCAGUGGCGAAGGCGGCUUACUGGACAGUAACUGACGUUGAGGCUCGAAAGCGUGGGGAGCAAACAGGAUUAGAUACCCCAGUAUC
rnacentral:rRNA from 1 species